rnacentral:rRNA from 1 species
AUUGAACGCUGGCGGCAGGCCUAACACAUGCAAGUCGAGCGGGGUUUUCGGACCUAGCGGCGGACGGGUGAGUAAUGCGUAGGAAGCUGCCCGAUAGAGGGGGAUACCAGUUGGAAACGACUGUUAAUACCGCACAAUGUCUACGGACCAAAGUGUGGGACCUUCGGGCCACAUGCUAUCGGAUGCGCCUACGUGGGAUU